CCUGAGCGGCCACUGCCUGGCAGGCGGGAAGCACAAGGCAGCUCCUGGCCCCGAGGGGCAUUUGGGGAUCUGCCAGCUCUACGCCGCCAAUGCCUGCUGCUCCUCCAAGGUGGCCCAGGAGAUCUCCAGCACCCCGCUCAACAUCUACUGGAAUCGCUGUGGGAACCUCAGCCCCAGGUGUGAGCAAUACCUGCAACGAGUUGAAUGCUUCUACUGCUGCUCCCCCAGCGCCGCCCGCUGGCCCCACCCCCAGCGCCCCACAGCCGUGCUGGAGGUGCCCCUCUGCCUGAGCUUCUGUGAGAAGUGGUACACAGCCUGCCAGGAUGAUCUGACUUGUGCCCACAACUGGGUGAGCGACUGGCAGCGGGGUCCCCAGGGGAACAACUGCAGCCAGGACUGCGUGUCCUACCACCAGGUG